CACCCGAAAACCCUAAAUCCAUCUGCGCCUCCCUCCAUCUCUGGAUUUCUCUGGCUCGCCUCUCGUUGCUCUCCCUCGCCUUAGCUCUCGCCCUCACCCUCGCCCUCGCCCUCGAUCUCGCCCUAGUUCUCGCCCUUGCCCUCGCCCUCGCCCUAGAUCUCGCGGCUCGCCCUCGCCCUCGCUCACUAGUUUUCCCUCUCCUUCGCCCUCAUCCUCCAUCUCGUGGCUCGAGCUCGCCUUAGCUCUCUCUCUCGCUCAUUGGCUCUCCCUCGCCCUCGAGCUCGCCCUAGCUCUCGCCCUCGCUCACUGGCUAGCCCUCGCCCUCGCCCUUGAUCCCGCGACUAGCACUCGCCCUCGAUCUCGCGGCUCGGCCUCGCCCUCGCCCCUCGCUCACUAGUUUGCCCUCUCCUUCGCCCUCACCCUCCAUCUCGUGGCUCGAGCUCGCCUUAGCUCUCUCCCUCGCUCAUUGGCUCUCCCUCGCCCUAGCUCUUGCCCUCGCUCACUAGCUAGACCUCGCCCUCGCUCACUGGCUCGCCCUCACCCUCGAUCUCGCGGCUCGGCCUCGCCCUUGCCCUCGCCCUCGCUCUCGCCUAUCGCGGCUAGCCCUCACCCUCGCUCUCUGGGUCGCCCUCGCCUGCCGUCGCACCAAACAGUAUUUCCCCCUCACUUAGAUCAGUAGAUCCUAGUCCUACGAUACCAACUCCAUUACAAGGUGCAUGAUCCAAUGAAUGAGAUUAAUGAUCAACAAAUACGUGACAUGUCAUGGGGGCCCUUGAGAAUGGUGCGCACAUGGCCUAUGUACAUCAUCAAUGGGUAUAAGUUUCACACAGAUUCAUGGAGUCAAGGCAAGUCAACAAGAAACAACGGAGUUUGCACUAGAGGGUCAGUAUAUGGGCAACCCGAAGAUGACUAUUAUGGUAUACUUCAAGAGGUAAUCCAAUUAGAAUACCUGGGAUUACCAAUCAAACAAGUGGUGCUAUUUAAUUGCACAUGGGUCGACCCAACCCCUAGACGUGGGACUCGAAUACAUGAUCAAUAUGGAAUAGUCGAGGUCAGAGCUAACAGAAGGUACAAUGGGUAUGAUCCUUUUAUACUUGCCUCUUAAGCGCAUCAGGUUUAUUAUGCUCCGUAUCCAUCUCGACAACGAAAUUUCGUAGACUGGUGGGUGGUUAUUCGAGCUAAGGCUAGGAGCAUAGUUCACGCCCCAACUAUCGACAGACAAAGGGAUGCAUAUCAGGCAGAUGAGGAAAUGCCAGUGCAGCCGGCUACAAUUGUAAAUGAACAACUCAACACCCUUAGAGAUGAAGUUGGUGAAUUCGAAUUUGUGGAUGAGCACUCAUUUGAUCAGAACCUUGUUGCGGGUGAUGAGGAGGUAGACGUUGAAGAAGUCGAAGAUGAGGAUGAUGAUGAGGACGAAGAUGAGGAUGAAGAUGAGGAGGAUGAAGAUGAGCAGUCAGACGACACGGAAUAGCUACAUAGGAUAUGUCACAAAGAACACCAUAUGGUCAGGGUAUGUGACGUCGUCAGUUUAGAGAGAGUGCAGGAGAGGACCACAUUGGGGGACAUUCAUCUUCUUCUGAUGUGAGAUUUGAUUCCCCUAGCCCACAUACACCUCAAUCCUACACUGAUGGGCCUUCUUCCACGCCCACUGAGGUUGGGGGUUCAUCAACGCCCCCUGUCCCACCUCAAAACCAUAUGAUGAUAUGUCCCUUAGGUUCCUCGUUUGAUAACAUUUGGUGCAAAUGAGAUAUAACACGAAUAAUUCAAAGUAAGUUUGAGAAGCCAUACACGAGUUGGAAAAAGACAGACCCUACAGUCAGGGAUAUGUGGUUUGGCGAAUUUAAGAAGAAUUGGUCUUGGGAGAGUGACUUGAAAAAUCAAAUAAGGAUAAAUUUUGAAAAGACGGCCUCUGAUCGUUUGACUGACCUUUUGUUCCGUGUGAGGAGGGACUUGCCAAAAAAACCAUUUUGAAUGUGUCCUGUUGUAUUUGAAGCACUUAAGGAGUAUUGGAAUACUCCAUAAUUUAAAAACAAAUCAGAAAAGGCUAAGAAAAAUCGGUCUUCAGAUGUCGGAGGUAGUAAGCAUACAUGUGGUUUCAUCCCUAAGUCUGAACAUAAGAAGAGACUGGUAAUAUUUGAUAUUUUUUGUUAUUUUCAUUAUACUUAAUUACUUAAAUAUGGUUGUAUGAACACUUUAUUUUUUCCUUUGCAGUCUAAGCUACUUGGUCGCCCACCUACACAGGCUGAGUUAUUUAUUGCGAUGCAUCAAAGAAAAGAUAAAUCGGGAUUCGUUGACAGUAAAUCUGAGGAAACUUAUGCUGACUUCCAGAUGCGCCAACAUGAUGCAUCAUCACAAUCAUCAGCAGUUGGCCCGACAGAAGAUAGUGACGUUGCUAGACAGCCCUCGCAGCCAGCUUUUGAUGAGACAUCAUUAUGGUUGGAGGUUGCAGGCGGGAAAAAGAAGGGUCGUGUAUAUGGGAUGGGGUCAGAAGCAUACGUUAUCCCUGGUUCCUAUCAUAUGUUGUCACCAUCGCCACCACCUCCACAUUCGUCGUCCAUCUCACUUGCUGACCAAAUUCAACAAGCUGUUAGCGCAGCUAUACAACCAUUGACCCAUCGUUUGUCAGCUAUAGAAGAAAGAUUACAUAAUCCUUUUUCUUCGCCACCGCCCUCAAAUCCUUCGGAUCAUUAGGAGGAUCUGUCAUUGCCAUGGAUAGAUAUUACAUUGUAUUAUUUUUAUUGUUCAUGGACGAUGUGUUUUAUUAAUAUUGUAUGGAUUUCCUGUAUGAAUUUAAUAUUAUAUGGAUUUCUUGUAUGAAUUUAAUAUUGUAUGGAUUUAA